ACUGCAAAUCCAUAUGCAUCCCUGUCCGCACCAAUAUACAUUAACUCCUCAGAUUCGAGAUCUUAUUAUUCAUAUCAUAACAUACCCAAAAAAGAAAAACUCAAAACAAGUUUGCAAAAACAGAAAAAACACUGAAAACACACACAGACUACCUUCAAGUUUCAUCCCAAAUAAAUACCAUUCAAGUUCUUCAUAGCGAAUAUACCAUUAGCAAACAAAAACAGUAGAGAUAACACACAAAUAAUUAAAACCCAAAUAAAAUGUGGACAAUAAUAGAAUAUUUACUUACCUGCAAUCUGCCUCCGAAGACCGGCAACUCAAACUAGACAACAAUACAUUUCACCAAAAACCCAGAUUCUACUUCCCAUUUCGUUCAUGAUUGCCUAAUCUCAAGCUUUAAACAAAACCACACCACAUUGACACAUUCCACAAUCCACACUUAGUUCCUAAACCAAUCCCAAUAUCAUACAAUGGCAGUAAUACUGACCAAAAUCCAAAACAAAACUCACCAAAUUCACUGAUCAAUCACUCAUUUUCCCAUUAAAAAAAAAUCAAAACAAAAAAUAAAAAAACCGCGAAUCCCCAGUAAAGCAACAUCAAUCAACGCGAUCAAAACAAAUAACAACGAACUUCAACUAAUGUAAAGCCCGGAAACUGCACACACAAUAGGGGCCAGAACUUGACAGAUCAAAGAGAUACACCUAGCAAGGACGCGUGUCUCAAUAAGAAGAAAAAAUAAUAAAUAGUCCAAUUACAAAACCUCUUAUGCUCAAAGGCGAUGAG
rnacentral:misc_RNA from 1 species